UUUAAUGGCCGCGGUACUUUGACCGUGCAAAGGUAGCAUAAUCAUUAGUUUUUUAAUUGAAAGCUGGAAUGAAAGGUUGAAUGAGAAAAUGACUGUCUUUUUAAUAUUUAAUUAUAAUUUUAUUUUUAAGUUAAAAAAGGNNNAAUUAAAUUUAAAGACGAGAAGACCCUUUAGAGUUUUAUAUUGGUUUGAUUUUUGAUUUUUUAGGAUUUAAUAUUAGAAAAUUAACCUUUAUUUGAUUGGGGUGAUUGAAAAAUUUAAUAAACUUUUUUUUUUAUUUAACAUUAAUAUAUGAAUAAUUGAUCCACAUUUUGUGAUUAUAAGAUUAAAUUACCUAAGGGAUAACAGCGUUAUUUUUUUUAAGAGUUCUNACGAAAAAAAAGAUUGCGACCUUGAUGUUGGAUUAAAAUUAAAUUAUGGUGUAGAGGCUAUAACUUUAGGUUUGUUCGACCUUUAAAAUUUUACAUGAUUUGAGUUUAAACCGGUUUGAGCCCGGUUGGUUUUUAUUUUUAAAUUUUUAUAAUACUUUUGUACGAAAGGACCCAGUCUUAUAUUUUUAAUAUCAUUAUUGAAAUAAAAAAAAUAUAAU
rnacentral:rRNA from 1 species